GCGAAAACGAAAGUGCUGGAAGGGUCACGGGCUUCCCAGAGUCCUGGCCCAUUAACAGCUGAAGGCCCAGGCCAGGGUCCCCUGCAUCUGAUAAGCCCAAGCUGGCCUCGGCCUGCCUGGACUGCCGGAGAGCCCGGGGUCUUCUGGGAGAGCCCCAACCCGGGCAGGGGAGUGCAGGCAAGCAAACCGAGCUGGUGACUGCCGGAGUUCACAUACAUUUAUUCAAUUGACACCAACGAGGAGUGGGGGGAGACAUUUUUCUUUUCUUCCACACAAACCAUCAGACGAUUUCGGAGUCUCCCCACAGUAGAGAAGUCUAAAUCAAUGCACACCCAGUGGACAGAGAACGCAGAUAGCAGCCCGCUGUACAGAUAUUUACAAAUAAUUACAGGACCCCCUGCCACAGGAUGUGCCCUCACCCACCCCACCCCCACCUCUCCAGCCCCUGACCCAGACCUCCUCUCCCACCCAAACCUCAUUGCUUUUAGCUACAAUAAAUAUCCCAGGGCCUGGGACAGAGCAGAGCACUAAGAGGACUGCUGGCCCUGGGUGGCUGGACCCAGCCGGCCACGGGAAAGGGGAAAAGUUCCUUCAAAAGCACCCCAACACAAAAGAGGGAGGAUGUUUCUCGGCGGGGUGGGACUCCGCAUGGAUUGUGGAGACCCCUCGCUUCACCUCUUCGUUCAGCUUCGCCUGUGUAGACACUCCUUUAUAGGCUUCAGAGAGAAGGAACCUCCUUGGAGAACAGCAAGGAAAAAAAGUUGAAUUCUUCUUUUGAGCACAAAGCGGAUAAUAGAUGUCUUUAAAUUAUAAUAUUGGACAAGCAGGGCCUCAAAGCCGAGGAAGGAGUGAGCGGGAUGCAGAAAGAGAGACCCCUCUGCGCAGUUGGUGCUUCUGGCGGGACCCGCGGGGCCUGGGCAGGCUUCUCUCCAGGACAGCAAUUCUUCCGGGGCUGCCGGGAGAAAGCGAAGACUCCCCCCGCCCCCGUUAUACUGCUCAAAUUGGAACCGGAUCGUGGCUUGCGAACUCGUCGCGUAGACCCGGGCCUCUCCCUGAGCGAUGGAGCCCGCUUCGUCCCAACUGUCGGCGAGAUUCUGAGCGUGGAGCCUGAAGUGCCAAGUCACGCGCGCCGGCCCAAGGUCUGGCGACUCUUCAUAAAUAGACUCCCUGAGUUCCUCUGGGACCGCAGGAGCUCCCGGGAGAGGCUUAGGAGUGCGGGCCUAACUGGCCCUGAGCCGACGCGGUCAGAAGUGGCAGCCACUGAGACCGGCGACUUUGCCGGCAAACGGAGGCCCUGAGGACAGGAGCGCGUCCCCGGGGUGCGAGAGGCGGAUGUGGCCGGCCACUGGAGCCAGGGCUGGGGCAGUCAGCAUGGCCAAGACCUGGGCUUGACCGCCAGGACCCGCCGCCGCCGCGAACGGCGAUCCCGGGGAGCCCUCGCCUCCGCCCGGGGGUGCUGCCCCGCCGCCGCCGUGGCCCAUGAUGUGGUCUAUGGAGAAGGAAGGCCUCUGGCCGGCCCCGGCGCCCCCGCCGCCCGCACCACCGCCCGCGUCCGUCUUGAGGCCCUGGCGCAGGAGUGCGGUGGACAGACCAGCCGCGGUGCCGGCUGCGGGAGGGCUCAGCGACGCGGGGUAGAAGGCUUUGGCGCAGCCCAGCUCCGCGCCCAGGAAGGCGGGCAGGCCUGCGGGGCCCGGGCCCGACCCUGUGCCCGGGGCAGGCGCAGGGGCCGGAGCCGAGGCUGCGCCUGCGAACACCGAGGCCGUCGGAGGUCCGGGUGGAGGCGCGGCGGCACGGCCUGGGGGUACCGACAGCUGGCAAGGAGCGGCGGCGGCGGCGAAAGCGAAGGCGUGCGGGUGUGGAUGCGGAUGCGGGGCCGGGCCCGGCGGCGGUGCGCCGUAGGCCGGGAGAGCCAACCCGUAGCCAUAGCCGUAGGCUCCGUAAGCGGCGAAACCCGGCAGAAAGGCGCCGGGGUCCCCCGCCGCCGCAGCCCCGCCACGCAGCAGCAGCUCCGGGUGAGGGUGCGUGUGUGGAUGCGGCGGCGGCAGCGGCUGCCGCUUGAAGCGCUUACGGCGCCGCAGGAAGCUGCCGUUGUCGAACAUGUCGGCCGACUCCGGGUCCAGCGUCCAGUAGUUGCCCUUGCCCGGGUUGCCCGGCUCGCGGGGAAUCUUGACGAAGCAGUCGUUGAGCGAGAGGUUGUGGCGGAUGCUGUUCUGCCAGGCGGGGAACUUCUCCCGGUAGUAGGGGAAGCGGCCGCUGAUGAACUCGCAGAUUUCACUCAGCGUCAGGCGCUUCUUGGGGCUCUGCAGGAUGGCCAUGGUGAUGAGCGCGAUGUACGAGUAGGGAGGCUUCACCAGCGGGCUCCGCGUCGCCGCGCCCCCCGACGGCGGUCCCGGCCCGGGGGCCCCGCCGCGCCCCGGGCCGCCGCCGCGCCUGGCCGGGGCUUCCCGCUGCGGCCGCCGCCCCCCGGGGCGCUAGAGCGCGGGGCUCGCCGUCCGAGCAGCCGCCCGACUCCUCGUCCUCAGCUGCGUCCGCCUCGGCUUCCUCCGAGGGAGGCUCGGGGCCGUGCGGGAGCACGUCCCGGGGGGCGCGGGGCCCGGAGCGGGCAGGGAGCUCCCCCCCACCGCUGCCGCCGCCGCCGCCGCCGCCCACUACGUCUAUGUCUGCGUCGGCCUCGGACAGCGCGGCCGGGGAGCUCUCGGAGGACAUGAUCUCGCAGCAGCAGCUGCCCAGGGUCAUGGUGCCGCCGCCGCCGCCGCUCUCCGGCUCCGCUCCGGCCGCGGCUCGGGCUCCGCCGCGCUGCCUCUGGGGCGAGUGUGUUUUGCGCGCGGGCGGGGAGGGGGCGGGGGACUGAGGCGGACAGGGAGGGGUGUCCCCCAGCUUCGCAGCGCCCCCUCGUGGCCCGACUCGGCCGCUCUCACCUCUCGGGGAGUACCCGACCCGCGGCUCUCUCCGCUGCCCCGGGAGCCCGAGCGGGGGCCUGCACGCCGGGGCGCGGGCGGAAGGAGCUGAGGCCUCCCCUCACCCUGGCCGGUCUCGGCCCCAGUCCCCCCGGGGCGGGGGGGGGUCCGGGUAUUAGUCCCUCCCGCCCAGCGGCUGCCCAAGGCGGAAGAGCGCGAGCCCGGGGCGGAGCUCCCUCAGCGGGGUGGGGCGGGGCGGGAGGGGGCGGGCGGAGUGUCUCCGCGGAGGGGCCCGGCGGGAACAAACAGCCGCCGCGGCGGGAGCUCGGCUCCGGUGCCGGAGGCGAGUCCUCCUCUUCCCCGCAGAUCCCGCAAACCUUUCGCUCCCUGGAGCCGCUGCCUUCAGUGCGUUCGGCCCCUGGAUGUUAAGGUUCACGCGGGUGCCAGCGGGAGCCGGGAGAAGGAGCGACAGCGCCCACCCAUCGUCGCCCCAAGGCAGAGACAGCGCCCGGGCCACCAAGGCCGAAGCGCAGUCGGAGCUGGAGCGGGAGCCUGAGACGCCCAGACCAGCGCCGCCCGAGGAGAGCGGGGCCCGCCGCCGCCCGAGCGGCUUCCGGCCCAAGGGGAGACGCACUUGAGUGAUCGCGAGGAGCGAACUUGGCACUCUCAGCCUCGGGCCUCGGAGAGGCUCUACAGACGGACAGCAAGGACCCCCACGGAGACCUCCAGUGAACCCUGACCUUAGCCCCGGGCCAGUGUUGCCUCCAUCUCUCAGCAUCCUGUGCUCACAAGGAAGAUUAGCCCUGAGCUAACUACUGCCAAUCUGCCUCUUUUUGCUGAGGAAGACUGGCCCUGAGCUAACAUCCGUGCCCAUCUUCCUAUACUUUAUACGUGGGACGCCUACCACAGCAUGGCUUGCCAAGCAGUGUCAUGUCUGCGCCUGGGAUCCGAACCGGCGAACCCCAGGCCACUGACGCAGAACAUUCGCACUUAACUGCUGCACCACCGGGCCAGCCCUCCACUGUGUUUUUUUAAGGGGGAAAAUAAUGUAUAUUUGUUUUGGUUUGUAUAUGCAACAAAAAUAUGUAGGAGGAUGAAUAAAAACUGAACAACUGAUUAUCUGUUGAGGCAAAUGGGGAACAAAAAUGGAGGUGAGACUUUUCACUGAAUACUUUUUUUAUAUGGAAUCAUUCCAAUAAAUAAGGCUGAGUGUGCAGAACUGAAGAGUAAUGAAGGCCAUUACUACAUGCUGGGCACUUCCUAUGGGCUCCAACAUGAACUGUGGUUGGUGGCUGUAGUUUUGAAGGUGGGACGUGAAAGCAAGACUUACUGGGUGCCUCUGAGCAUUGGCCUGCCACCCGUCAGGCAGGGAGGUAGGUGGGUCUGGUAGCUAGGACCCCAGACUUUCUACCUUGCCCACCUUCUCUUCUGUCCCCAUCCUUCUGUCUUUGCCUCCUCUCUUGGUCCCACCGAAAUUGCUCUGGAAGUAGUCAGACUUUUUCAGUUUGACAAGCUAGACAAGGAUUAGGAUGGAGGAAAGGGUUUUAUAGAAACUAAAAUAGCAGGCUCUCCCCUCCCUUCCUUGAAAACCCCAAACCAGAGCUCACCUCCUCCAGGAAGCCUUCCUUGUGAGGCCCACCAAGCCCCAACCCCUCCACAUUGCAGGGAGAUGGUCUGAUGCCCAAGGUGGGGCCUGCGUCCUCCUCAAGCCAGGCCUAGGCCUCUUGUCUCUAACUCUCCUCCACCCCUUAAACCUCAACUCCAGCCUCCAGACAAGGGGUAUCUCAGGCCAAAGCCUGGCAUGCCCGCCCUGGCCAGGCUGCCCAGGGAGGGAUACAGUGGACAGAGAAGGGGCAGGGCCUGUCCUGGGAAGCCCACAGCCAGGCAGGGGAGAAUAUCCUCCCCCAGCAUCACUACGGCUGUAGCAGUUACAAAGGCCGUCCCACCCAGGCAGAGAGAGCAGGGCACAUUCUCGCUAGUUCAGAGGAGCCUGAGGCUGGGGUCGGGGCAGAGGCUUGAACUGGUGAGUGGCCACAGUGACCUGAGAGCUCCCUGAUCUUGUCAGCACUCUGCACUAUAUUGUCACCCACCAAUAGUUGACUCCUUUGCGCAAGGCCAUCAUCUGAUUCCUCUGAGUCCUCGCUGAGGUGGGGCGCACAGUCACAGAGCCUGGAGAGAGCUGUAAGUUGCUGUGACAGAGGAAGAAGGAAGGCCUUGCCUGAGUGUUAGAGUAGACCUCAGGUUUCCUGACACCCACCCAGCACACUUUCCGCUAUUUCCUUCUUACGGAGUGGAUCAAUUCUCUGCAGCUAGAACCACCUACCACACUCCCAUUCCAAGCCCCUCUAAGUGGGCCACUACCAAGGGCUGCGAAGAAGAAUGGAGGAGGAUGGAAGAUCUGGGAGGGCUUCCCAGGGGAGGUGGGAACUGCAGCCAGCUUUCCUCUUCCACACCAAACAAUUGGGUUCCCCCUGGAGCAAGUGCCUCUCUGCCACCAGAAGCCACCCCAGCCGCAAACAGCGUCCAAAUGGAUCCUGGCUUCAUUCCACUGCUUUCCUGCUCAAAUCAGGUGCAUACAAGGUGGCCAAUAGGUGGCGCUUUUGUCUCCACAAAAUUGGUGAGGGGAGAGGGAGGAGGGGGCAGGAGUACAGGGAAAGGAGGGGAAGAGGGAGCGUGGAAGGGGGAAGAAGUGGAAAACUGGAAAAAAAAAAAAAAGGAAACCAAACCUAUCACUUGGCUUCGAAAAGUACCUUUCAAGAUCAGGACUGUGGGUGUGAUGGAUGGGGCAGGGGAGAAUAUGGUGUGAACUGAGGAAUUUUUUUGGUGCCUGGGGCUUUUGAUCCAAGUUUCCACUGCCACUUGCCUAUUCCACAGAGGCAGAGAAUGACUUUGGAGUCAGGCGGACCUAGAGUCAAGUUCUGAGUGGGUCACUUUGCAGCUUGACCUGGGAUCUUCCGAAGAAGGACCUCACCUGGGCUUAAAACCACGCCAGUCACUACAGCAGAGGGUUCUCCACGUUGUGCAUUUGUCCUUCUGCCUUCCCAGAUGUGCAAAAUUUUCCCCCAAAUUUACCUCGACUGAAACAAAGAAACAAAGCAAGAGAAAGGAAGAUAUGGAAGCAAAGGAUCCAAGACAGGAGAGAGAUGGAGGGAAUUCCAAAAGAAAGAGUGAGUGAAAAUUUCAGGUCCACAUCUGUGCAGCAGACACGGAGAGCAAUCAGCCCAGACCGGAGCUGGAGGACAGCGGGCUCUGGGAGAGAUGCCCCCGGGAAAGGAAAAACACAGCAACCAAAAGCAAUGACAGAUUUCCUGCAUCUACCAAAGUGUCACAAUUCUUGGGGCACUCUACCACACAUAGCUUUCCAGACAAUGGACUCUGUAAGGGCAAGAACAGUCUCAGAAGUGACAUUUCUAGAAUUUCCAUACAGACAUUUCCCACCUCAUCCUGACCUCACUGUUCCAAGAUCCCAGGGACAGAGACCUGCAGGGUGGUGACAAGAAUGGAAUUCAGAGCUCAAGAAGCACUUCCUGGCUUCAGCGGAGGGAGAGGGGUCAUCCCCUUCCCUGGAAAUUUCUUGGAUUAGGAAGGAAUUUAUCAAGAGUUUUCCAGAUGGUGGGGCAGCCUACGGACUCCCCUUUCAGUCAGGAGCCCCUGGUGCUGCUUUUCUCAGAAAUCUCGAAGAACUGUCCUCGGGGCCUGGCAGAGUGCUGCCAGGUGUGUCUGUGUGGAAGGAGAGCUCUCUCCCGGGAAGACACCGAGGGCAGACAGAUCUCAGCACAUGGUGUUUGCCCUCGCCACCCAGAUCAGAAAUGUGGACAUGAUCAUGGGCUCCUCCCUCCCCCAUCACGCCCACAUCCAAGCAGUCUGUGAGUCCUGUCAGUGCCGCGUGGAUUCCAGAUCCAUCUCUCCCUCAGUUCUCCAGGCCUCAGUUUGGUCCACCUCAUUCACCAAGCACUUCUGUGCCAGGCCCUUUGCCAGCACUCAGGGAAAACAGAGAUGAAGAGACUCACAGCCUGGUGGAGAGAUGGACACAGACAAUUACAACUAUGAGAGAGGUGGGCAGAGGGGGCUGCAGAAGCAGAGGGGAAGGAGAUGAUGACACUCGGAGGUCUAGAGACAACCCCUCGCCCCACAACAACGAAGAGGCAACAACCCCUGGCUUAUAGGAGAACAGGUCCCGCCUCAGGACGCUCUUCCUGGCAUUCUGCAGUCUGAGCACAGGCCUUAUGGACAGGACAGUGCAGUCACCACAAACAGCUCACCAAAGAAGCCAAGACACGCGGCUGCAGCAGCGAGGAAUCUAGCACCAAGAGCUGAGGGACCCGCGGCCCGUUGCUCCCUUGAGCCUGGGUUUCCUCACCUGCCAAAUGGGGGCAGUGAUGAACCCUCUCAGCGCUGUUGGGAGAUUCGGAUGGGUCGUGUGUGAAAGUGCCUGGCCCACACUGGCCCUGGGCAAAAGGAGACUUCUUUUCUACUACACACUGGCAUUUCCACUAUUAAAGCAGGAAGGGAAGGGGAGGGGCAGAGCCAGAGACAGGAUUUCAGAGCCUGUGGAUUUUCAACCAGGUGCAGCACACCCUGCAGCUAGACUCACACAGAGCCAGAGGCACCAUCUUCCCCACCCUCCCUUAGGGCUGAAGCCCCCUCCGAAGCCUCUGCCACAGCCUCUGUCUCACACCCUCAGAUGGAGAGUGGCUCUUACUGCCUCCUACGGCAGACUAAGUGCGUGCGUAGAGCCUGGGACAUAGUAUAUGUUGAGUAAACGACACUGAACGUGCAGGUCGGCUGUGCUGAUCCUGGG
rnacentral:lncRNA from 1 species